rnacentral:misc_RNA from 1 species
GAUGAAGAACGCAGCGAAAUGCGAUAAGUAAUGUGAAUUGCAGAAUUCAGUGAAUCAUCGAAUCUUUGAACGCACCUUGCGCCCUUUGGCUAUUCUGAAGGGCAUGCCUGUUUGAGUAUCGUGAACACCUCAACUCUCAUGGUCUGCCAUGAUGAGCUUGGACUUUGGGGGUCUUGCUGGCCUACUGUCAGCUCCUCUCAAAUGAAUCAGCUUACCAGUGUUUGGUGGCACCACAGGUGUGAUAACUAUCUACGCUUGUGGUUUUCUGCCAGGUAACCUCCAGUGAUGGAGGUUCGCUGGAGCUCACAAAUGUCUCUCCUCAGCGAGGACAGCUUUUUGAAUGUUUGAUCUCAAAUCAGGUAGGACUACCCGCUGAACUUAAGCAUAUCAAUAAGCGGAGG